rnacentral:rRNA from 2 species
AGCAGGCGCGAAACCUUUACACUGCACGAACGUGCGAUAAGGGGACUCCGAGUGCGAGGGCAUACAGUCCUCGCUAUUGUGUACCGUAGGGUGGUACACGACCAAGAGCUGGGCAAGACCGGUGCCAGCCGCCGCGGUAAUACCGGCAGCUCGAGUGAUGGCCGAUUUUAUUGGGCCUAAAGCGUCCGUAGCUGGCCCUGCAAGUCCGUCGGGAAAUCCACUCGCCUAACGAGUGGGCGUCCGGCGGAAACUACAGGGCUUGGGACCGGAAGACUUGAGGGGUACGUCUGGGGUAGGAGUGAAAUCCUGUAAUCCUGGACGGACCGCCGAUAGCGAAAGCACCUCAAGACGACGGAUCCGACAGUGAGGGACGAAAGCUAGGGUCUCGAACCGGAUUAGAUACCCGGGUAGUCCUAGCUGUAAACGAUGUUCGCUAGAUGUGGCACAGGCUACGUGCCUGUGCUGUGUCGUAGGGAAGCCGAGAAGCGAACCGCCUGGGAAGUCGUCCGCAAGGAUGAACUUAAAGGA